UCGUGACGUCAUUUCCGGUUUAAAAUGUUAAAUCACAAUGGUGAUCUGCGACAUUAAAAAGCGAUAUAAUUUGCGAAAAGCAAACACUGUUAAAUUGUCGCGGUCGACUUAGCGUUUUGGGGUGAUAUCCCGUGCAAUUGAAAAUAAAACUGAAGAUGAUGUUAAAAGAUAAGAGCCGCAUCAUGAGUAAUUCAGAAAAAAACAAAGUGGUAUGCAGACGUUAAAAAACGAAAACGGGCAAAACAACAAUAUGAAAGCAAAGUCCGUCAAAAAUAUUCAAAUACAAGUCAACCAUCCAGGGAAAAGGCAACAUAUGCAUCACAAAAACGAAACGAAAGGAGAGAACGGGUGAAGGCGAACAAGCAAUAUGAACCUGAACGGAAGCCAAUGUGGCGUUCCCAGAAGCAAUCUAUAGCGGUCGGUGUUUUGUCGGAAACGGAAAGUCAGUCACCGAAAAUGGUAUUUAAGUAUAGAACGGAGAAGAAGAGAGCACUAGAUAAAUUUAAACAGGCAUUACCAGUAAAACCGAUAAAACGACGAUCAGUUUUAAAAAGCUACCUUACUGAAUCCAAAUCCCCAACUGCCAAACAUAUCAUCAGACAGAUGGCUACCCCAACGGACGAUGUUGCCGCGUCAGUUUUAAAGAACGUGAAGGAAAUGUUAACAGAGAUUAAGUUUAAACGUUCAAAAGAAAGGAGAAUGGAGACAAAUGCAAUACUAUCCUCUGUUAGUGGUGAGCACUUAUCAGUCAAAACAUCGAAAACAAAAGUGGCUGAACGGCUUGGACUUUCGGUAAAAGCAUUAUCUCGGGGACAACGACUAAGGACGAAACUACUUACAUUGCCGAAGUCAUGUUGGGAGCACACACAACGCAAAGGACGCUCUGAUGGAGUAACGAAUGAACAGAAAUCAACAAUAUAUAGCUUCUGGACUUCUCCCGAAAUAUUGCGGCCGACAGGAAACAAGAAGGACGUGAAACGUCACAGAAUUGGUCCUAAAACGUACCUUAGUAAUUGUAUUCAAAUUCUUGAAAUGACACAAACAGAGGCUUACAUUUGUUUCAAAACACAACAUCCAAACAUGAGCAUAUCCCAAAGAAUAUUUGAAAAAGCCGUUCUUCGUAAAGCCUGUUAGAGUUAGAGAUAAAUGUACAUGCUGUUGUAGAUACCACGUUGAAUUCGGUUACGCGUUUAGGCGUUGUAUGCAAUUACGCACUGCGCUACGAAAGAAAUAUACCCUGAACGACGACGAAUUUCCGGUCUUUGAGCACUCGUCUGACCUGAUAGAAAAAAACCUUGUGUGCCCGUGUCGAUAGCCGGUUUCGUAUGCCCUGCUUAAAUCGUGAAUGCACAAUGUGUGGAGUAUCACCAGAUUUGUUCAUGCCGGAAGAAAGAGAAUUGUCCGAAAGUGCCCCAAAAGUUGAGAGCGAUAUGAAUAUAGAAAUUUCACAUACAAUGGGACUCAAAUGAAACGAAAGCUUGUUCUUGUUAAGAAAACAGCAGCGAUUGGUGAACUUAAUCAGCAUUUAAUUUCGUAUUUGAGAACGUUCCCAAGCCAUAUCUUCAGGGCUGAUUGGCAACAUACACAAGCUAAACGUCUGAUGGAAUCAUUACCAGUUGGCGACGUUUUGAUUGUUCACGACUAUUCUGAAAUUACCGAUGCACAAAGAAAAACGAAAUACAAAGCAGUUAUUUUUAGAAAACAGAGGUGUCGAUUCGUGUUUCUAUAAUUUAUAGGCAUUCAGUUCUGGAAUAUGACGGAGUUUAUAGUGUACCCCAUGAUCCACAAAUAAUACGGGAACAGUUCUUUGUAAUUACUCCAGACAAAAAAAAACACGAUCACCAUUUCACGUUUCACGUGCAGACGCUCUUAUAUGAAUACCUUAAGAGUAGUUCUUAUUCAUUAGAAACUAUUCAUGAAUACACCGACGGAUGUGCUGGUCAAUAUAAAAGUCGACAUUGCAUUGGGUCCUUUACGCAGGCUGCUACAAAAUUCCACAGCACUAUAGUCAGAAACUAUUAUGAAACCUCACAUGCCAAGGGUCCACAAGAUGCAACCGGCGGUUAUUUAAAACAACAAGCAGAUAAGGCAGUUUUAAGAGGAAAGACAAUUAUCCAAUCGCCAAAAUAUCUUUUUUUAGUUCGUAUCACAGGAGCUAUCAACCCCGAAAGAACGAGCAGUAUGCAAGGCCCGCAUAUUCCGAUAUGUACAUGAAAUUCCUCGAAAUGAAGCUGGUUAUUUCAAACAAAUCACUUCAAUUAGAAAGAUCCAUCAAGUUCGGACCACCUCUUCAAAUACGAUUACCAGUCGCUUGUUAUCAUAUUACUCUUGCGAUGCAUGCUUUCACGGUGAUUUCAAGAACCGUAGGCAUCGGACUUACACUGGGAUGCCAUAAAAUACUAGAGUUGUGAGUGCACCAAGUGGUGAAUAAAAAGGGGUUAUUGAAACUGAAAUAUCGGAUGUAUUACAAACUUAGUAGAAAUAGGCCAAGUUAUUGCAGUUCGUGCUGAAAAUGACGAGUUCUUUUUGCUGGAAGCAAAGUCCACACCAUUCAUUCUAACGCUGGAUACAACAGAUGACUUACAAACAACUUAUAUGGCAGGCACACGUGCUAUUGGUGGACUUUAAUAUGAGCGUAUGAAGAAAUCAAUCUUUGAGUACUGGCUUUUACCAAAACAUAGAGCAUUCGUACCUGCAUUGUCAGUUUUGCGAAUUUGUAGUGAGGUUCAGGGCAAACGAAUAAAUUUAUCUGAAGCAGUUCAUCAAACUAUUGUUGAUACAUUUUAUGAACUUCUGUGUAAAUAUUAAAUCAAAGCAAAAUGUCCGUCUAAUAUGAACCCGAGCGAAUUUCACCGACUGAUCCGAUACGGCUUUUCAUUUGUAAAUGUAUUGAAUGUUAAGAACGGCUUUAUUCAUUUAAGCAUUACACCUUAUCUGAGCAAACCCGUCUUAAUGAUCAGUUUUAUUUUUAUUCAAAUAAAUCUUCGGAAAAAAAAUCAAAUUUCAAGUUAA